AUGACCGCGCGGGGGUGUAAGACGCCGUGGAUGUCGGGGAUCCAGCCUAUGUUGCUAAGAGCGUCGCUGACAAGGCGUUGGUUUUGGCGGCGCCACGGGAUGAGGGCAGAAAGUGUAGGUGCAUUCUCGGGGAUGGAGCGCCCGCUUUGGGAAGCCUUCACAUACUUCUACUUAUAG
rnacentral:rRNA from 1 species